rnacentral:tRNA from 1 species
UCAAAAAGAGUUUAUCAGAAUACUAACUUUGGGAGUUAGAGGGUGGCUGGAUGGUCAUUUUUGAA